AUGGCGUCCAUCGUGGUGAUCGGCCUGGUGCUGCUCCUCGACAUCCUCGCCUUCGUCCUCGCCAUCGGCGCCGAGCGCCGCCGGAGCACGGCGCAACUCGGCGAGGCCGAGCCUGGCGGCAGGCGGUACUGCGUGUACGACACGGACGCGUCCACCUGGUACGGCGUCAGCGCGCUCGCCCUGCUGCUGGUCGGGCAGGCCGUGGCCAUGGCCGCCAGUCGCUGCUUCUGCUGCGGCCGCGCGCUCUCCCCCGGCCGCUGGCGCUUCUUCUCCGGCCUCUUCUUCGUCCUCUGCUGGCUGACGUUCGUGAUCGCGGAGGUGUGCCUGCUGGCGGGGUCGGUGCGGAACGCGUACCACACCAAGUACGUGAGCGGCUACUACAACUGCGCGAUGCUGCGCAGGGGCGUCUUCGCCGCCGGCGCCGCCUUCGCCUUCCUAACCACGCUCUUCGUCAUGCUCCACUACGUCUUCUACUCCAAGGCCCGCGCCGCGCCCCCGCCCAUCAUCAACGGCGGCGGCAUCGGCAUGACCCGCAUCUGA
rnacentral:rRNA from 1 species